rnacentral:rRNA from 1 species
UACAGAGGGUGCAAGCGUUAAUCGGAAUUACUGGGCGUAAAGAGCUCGUAGGCGGUUUGUCGCGUCGGCCGUGAAAUCUCCACGCUUAACGUGGAGCGUGCGGUCGAUACGGGCAGACUUGAGUACUGCAGGGGAGACUGGAAUUCCUGGUGUAGCGGUGGAAUGCGCAGAUAUCAGGAGGAACACCGGUGGCGAAGGCGGGUCUCUGGGCAGUAACUGACGCUGAGGAGCGAAAGCGUGGGGAGCGAACAGG